AGGACCAGGACUACACUGAGGUCUAUAGAGGACCAGGACUACACUGAGGUCUCUAGAGGACCAGGACUACACUGAGGUCUAUAGAGGACCAGGACUACACUGAGGUCUAUAGAGGACCAGGACUACACUGAGGUCUAUAGAGGACCAGGACUACACUGAGGUCUCUAGAGGACCAGGACUACACUGAGGUCUACAGAGGACCAGGACUACACUGAGGUCUCUAGAGGACCAGGACUACACUGAGGUCUCUAGAGGACCAGGACUACACUGAGGUCUAUAGAGGACCAGGUCUACACUGAGGUCUCUAGAGGACCAGGACUACACUGAGGUCUCUAGAGGACCAGGACUACACUGAGGUCUAUAGAGGACCAGGACUACACUGAGGUCUAUAGAGGACCAGUACUACACUGAGGUCUCUAGAGGACCAGGACUACACUGAGGUCUCUAGAGGACCAGGACUACACUGAGGUCUAUAGAGGACCAGGACUACACUGAGGUCUCUAGAGGACCAGGACUACACUGAGGUCUAUAGAGGACCAGGACUAGACUGAGGUCUCUAGAGGACCAGGACUACACUGAGGUCUCUAGAGGACCAGGACUACACUGAGGUCUAUAGAGGACCAGGACUACACUGAGGUCUAUAGAGGACCAGGACUACACUGAGGUCUAUAGAGGACCAGGACUACACUGAGGUCUCUAGAGGACCAGGACUACA